AUUGAACGCUGGCGGCAGGCCUAACACAUGCAAGUCGAGCGGAGCGGCGGACGGGUGAGUGAUGCUUAGGAAUCUGACUGGUAGUGGGGGAUAACGUCCGCAAACGGACGCUAUUACUGCAUCCUCUUAGAUGAGCCUAGGGCGGAUUAGCUAGUUGGUGGGGUAAAGGCCUACCAAGGCGACGACCCGUAACUGGUCUGAGAGGAUGAUCAGUCACACUGGAACUGAGACACGGUCCAGACUCCUACGGGAGGCAGCAGUGGGGAAUAUUGGACAAUGGGCGAAAGCCUGAUACAGCCAUGCCGCGUGUGUGAAGAAGGUCUUCGGAUUGUAAAGCACUUUAAGUUGGGAGGCGUUACCAACAGAAUAAGCACCGGCUAACUUCGUGCCAGCAGCCGCGGUAAUAC
rnacentral:rRNA from 1 species